rnacentral:rRNA from 1 species
GACGAACGCUGGCGGCGUGCUUAACACAUGCAAGUCGAACGGAAAGGCCCCUUCUGUGUUGCUUGAUUGGCUGACGGGUGAGUAACACAUACGUAACCUGCCCUUGACUUCGUGAUGACUUCAUUAAACUGGGGCGAAUACCUGAUAGGAAUCCUUGCUUCCUGGUUGGGGUUGGAAAGCUUCGGCGGGUUUGGAUGGACUCGCUGGUUAUCUGCUUGGUGGUGGGGUAGUGGGUUACCAAGGCUUUGACGGGUAGCCGGCCCGAGAGGGCGACCGGCCACAUUGGGACUGGGAUACCGGCCAGACGCCUACCGGGGGCAGGAGUGGGGAAUAAUGCAAAAUGGGGGGGAGCCUGAUGCAGGCACGGCGCCGGCGGGAAGAACGGCUUUGGGUUGGAAAACGGCUUCCGCAGGGGAGAAGCUUGUGGUGACGGUAACUGCAGAAGAAGCACCGGCUAACUACGUG